rnacentral:lncRNA from 1 species
AGGGACAACUUUUUAGACUCGGAAUUCUCUGCACUUAGAAACUUUAGGCUUUAUUCUCGAAAAGUUCGGUUUCUAUGACUGGAACUCAAUUACUAGACGAACUCGCCCAGGCAGUUUGAUCAAAAACCUUUUCUGUAUCUAUUUCGUCUUUUGUUAUCGAGCUGCGACUCAAUUAGGUUUGAGCUAUUAGGCCGCUAGAACUAAGUAACUCGCUGACAGCCUUUGCAGCCAAAGCUUUUAUGAUCUCUUCUAAUGAUCGCAACGCUCUUACGCGGACUCGAAAUAAGAUCUACUGUUUUCUCUAAACUCGUUUGUUAUCUUUUCAUGAUUUCCGCAUAUAUUUGGUCACUUGUCAUUGGCUCUCGUAGAGAUCCGGGACCUCUGGGAAAUUAGGGUUUUCCUAGUUUUUCAAUUUAAGCGGAAAUCGACAGUGCGAAUUUCGGUUCCCACAAUUACUAUCUCUUCAAAUUUACAAAAGAAUUCAUAACUAAAAGAGUAAACACAUAAAUCAUGUGGGUGCCGAA